rnacentral:siRNA from 1 species
CAAUUUUGAUAACUCGUGUUACGA